rnacentral:rRNA from 1 species
UACGUAGGUGGCAAGCGUUGACCGGAAUUAUUGGGCGUAAAGAGCGCGCAGGUGGUUCUUUAAGUCUGAUGUGAAAGCCCACGGCUCAACCGUGGAGGGUCAUUGGAAACUGGGGAACUUGAGUGCAGAAGAGGAAAGUGGAAUUCCAAGUGUAGCGGUGAAAUGCGUAGAGAUUUGGAGGAACACCAGUGGCGAAGGCGACUUUCUGGUCUGUAACUGACACUGAGGCGCGAAAGCGUGGGGAGCAAACAGG